rfam:Myotis lucifugus cont2.6308, whole genome shotgun sequence.
CAAUCGGCUUUAUUCAAAGCCCACCAAUUUAAUGUUAAUCUCAUUC